rnacentral:lncRNA from 10 species
ACAGCAUUCACUACACUGAAGGCAUAAACCUUCUGCUCUUGAACAAAGCAGCUGCUUUUUAAAAGUAGUAAUUGCUGCUUUACUUUUUAUUUCUUUUGUAAAUGAAACUUUUCUUUAAGAAUGUGACUUUAAAGUGUUGUCUAUUGCAUAAAACAGUUGACACUCCUUGUAAAGUGAAGAUUGUUCUACUGCAUGUGAAGUGGGCCAUGCAGAUUUCUGUAUGUUCUCAGUAUGUACCACUAGAUAAUAAAGUCUUUUGUAAACAAAGAAAAAAAAAA